rnacentral:rRNA from 1 species
UACAGAGGUCUCAAGCGUUGUUCGGAUUCAUUGGGCGUAAAGGGUGCGUAGGUGGCGCGGUAAGUCGGGUGUGAAAUUUCGGAGCUUAACUCCGAAACUGCACUCGAUACUGCCGUGCUUGAGGACUGGAGAGGAGACUGGAAUUUACGGUGUAGCAGUGAAAUGCGUAGAGAUCGUAAGGAAGACCAGUGGCGAAGGCGGGUCUCUGGACAGUUCCUGACACUGAGGCACGAAGGCCAGGGGAGCAAACGGG